rnacentral:rRNA from 1 species
CCUACGGGAGGCAGCAGUGGGGAAUCUUUCACAAUGGGCGAAAGCCUGAUGGAGCAACGCCGCGUGCAGGAUGAAGGCCUUCGGGUUGUAAACUGCUUUUAUAAGCGAGAAAUAUGAUGGUAACUUAUGAAUAAGGAUCGGCUAACUACGUGCCAGCAGCCGCGGUCAUACGUAGGAUCCGAGCAUUAUCCGGAGUGACUGGGUGUAAAGAGUUGCGUAGGUGGCAUAAUAAGUAGCUAGUGAAAUCUGGUGGCUCAACCAUUCAGACUAUUAGCUAAACUGUUAAGCUCGAGACCGUUAGGGGUAACUGGAAUUUCUGGUGUAGGAGUGAAAUCCGUAGAUAUUAGAAGGAACACCAAUAGCGUAGGCAGGUUGCUGGGACGGUUCUGACACUAAGGCACGAAAGCGUAGGGAGCAAACGGGAUUAGAUACCCCGGUAGUC